UACAGAGGGGGCAAGCGUUAUUCGGAAUUAUUGGGCGUAAAGGGCGCGUAGGCGGUCGGACAAGUGGAAGGUGGAAUCCCCAGGCUCAACCUGGUAACUGCCCUCCAAACUGUUUGACUUGAGUCCGGGAGAGGUGAGUGGAAUUCCCAGUGUAGCGGUGAAAUGCGUAGAUAUUGGGAGGAACACCAGUGGCGAAGGCGGCUCACUGGACCGGAACUGACGCUGAGGCGCGAAAGCGUGGGGAGCAAACAGG
rnacentral:rRNA from 1 species